AUAUGGUUAUAACAAAAAACAAAUCAUGGAAG
rnacentral:scRNA from 1 species